rnacentral:lncRNA from 1 species
UAAACUAUUUUAAUAAGCACAAUAAUCCAAGAUGUUGUCAAAAUUCAGCAGUUUUAUUUGAAUAUAUUUUCAAUUAUGUGUAUCUUUUAAGUUUUGUUGGAAGGGCCAUGCCCCCUUUAGUUACAGUUCUAUACUUUGAUCUAGCGACCGAAGUUUGAUUAACCCUGCGUCGACGAUAGAUAUUUAAGUUCGAUUCAAUAUUGUCUGUCCCAUUUUUAGAGAUGUUGACUUGGACUUUCCUCGAGUCCAUAUUUUGAAGACUUGGGAUUUGGAUUGAUUGCUCGAUCAAAGACCUGAUACUUGACGUGGACUCGAAAGCUAAGACUCACGCAAGUUUUUUAAUUUUCCACUGGAUAUAAUACUCUUUAAAUCUUUUUGUAGAGUUCAAGAAAAAUUGUUUAUAUUUUGAACCUUGCUUUUGUGUUUAGAAGUCACAUAUGGCUGCGUAGAUAUUCUAUGAAGACGACAAGACAAUAUUAUAAGGAAUUCAUACGUGUACAAAGUAAUAUAUUUCCCUCACAAUAUAAUUUAAAAAUAAUAAUUAUCCACAAUACCUUGUAACAGAUGAUAGAUAAAUAUAGAAACGAUGACGAGACAUUGAUAUUAAUGUACCCAUUAAAAAAUUUGAUAAUUAAGUAGUUAAUAGACAAUUCUUUUUUUUAAUACUUACAAAUAACAAUCAGUUUACAUAUAUAAUUAUAUAGCAUAAUAAGGUUACGUUAUGAUGGAAAGCAAGUAGCUCUACAUAUGUAAUAACCACUAUAAUAACACAAAUGAAAAUAAUAAUUAAUUUACUGCCCAAUAUUAAUGAUUUAUAAAUAUAGAUAGAUAUAUAUAACCACUCUUUUUGUAAAUUUAUUUGCGAUAAAUGAAUUUAUUUAAAGGAAAAAAAAAUAUAUUUAUUAAAAUAUUGAAUGUUGUGUUUUGUCAAGGUAUCUUUCUAUUGAAAUUCAUCAUCGGAAGAGAGGAGUAGAGUCUUUUCAUUGUUGGUUACUUUUGACAUACGAGGAAGUAUUCCUCCAGCAUUGGAGGACCCAUUAGAGGAUAGGUUAUCGAACUGAUUUGAUAGAGUGGCGCCGCUCCCACUACCUUCUCGUGCGGUAUGUGAUGUGGAUGAGGGAGUAGACUCUAUAUCACCGACUCGAUCGUAUGACUCAUUACGCUUAUGGCGACUACUUCCACCUAUAAAAUAAACAAUAAGUACAUAAUUAAUCAAUGAAAAAAAGUUCAUAUAAUUGUAUAGAUAAACAAUAUGUAAUUGAAUAUAGAAAGUGCAUAAAACGUUGCAAUUAAGAAGAGAAGUAACGGAGUGUGUGAUGUUUGUGUGUAUUAGAUUCACAAAUAUGUAUUGUUGGUACAUAUAUCCACAAAGGAACCAUUAGUAUAUAUGUGCUUACAGUACUAGUGGUACAAUCAAUCACUACACUUACUUACGCUUUGUUUUACUCCAAGAGUUGGUUCAUCAUAUGUAUAAUGUAAUUAAUAUAUUUUUUUACUUUAUAAAAAUGGUAUUUAUUUUAGUUAGUGUUUCAAAACCCAUAUCCCCUAAAUUCAAGCUAUAAAAAAAAAAGAAUGAGAUCUAUUUAAAAAAAAUAUAGGAUUAUAUAUAAGUAAUUUGUAGGAUGUUAAAUAGAAAAACUUUGUUCAUCGACUUUUACUCAUUGCUUCAUAAUUAUUAUAUACCCUUUCCAACGCCAACAAAGCAUUGUCCAAUUUUUAGUCUUCAUUAAUAUAAUUUUUAUAAGUUGUAGAGGGGACCAAAAUUGUAUGUACAUAGUGUACAACAAUAUCUUGACAUGCGAGUUUAAUUAUUUUCUGGACGAUAAUAAAUAAUUAAACUUGAAGCGGCUUUCGCUUUGCGCCACCAACUCACGGUGAG